rnacentral:rRNA from 1 species
UACGUAGGAAGCAAGCGUUGUUCGGAAUUACUGGGCGUAAAGAGUGUGUAGGCGGUGCUCUAAGUUCGGUGUGAAAUCUCCCGGCUCAACUGGGAGGGUGCGCCGAAAACUGGAGUGCUGGAGCGCGGGAGAGGAAAGCGGAAUUCCUGGUGUAGCGGUGAAAUGCGUAGAUAUCAGGAGGAACACCGGCGGUGUAGACGGCUUUCUGGACCGUAGCUGACGCUGAGACACGAAAGCGUGGGUAGCAAACAGG